UACGGAGGAUGCAAGCGUUAUCCGGAAUGAUUGGGCGUAAAGCGUCCGCAGGUGGCAAUGUAAGUCUGCUGUUAAAGAGUCUAGCUCAACUAGAUAAAAGCAGUGGAAACAUACAUAGCUAGAGUACGUUCGGGGCAGAGGGAAUUCCUGGUGUAGCGGUGAAAUGCGUAGAGAUCAGGAAGAACACCGGUGGCGAAGGCGCUCUGCUAGGCCGUAACUGACACUGAGGGACGAAAGCUAGGGGAGCGAAUGGG
rnacentral:rRNA from 1 species